CCUUAGACCAACUCCGCCUCACUGCGCCCCGCUGCCAAUCACAUAACCCUUGCACCGCUCCCUUCGCACCCCGGUUAGCCAAUCCGCUCCAGGUCUGAUUUUACGAUCUCCCGCUGAUGUUAAGACUAUCUUCGAACCCCCAGAAGAGAUCUGACUUCAGACGUAUCAACAACUGGCGCCGCUCAGACUGCUUGCGAGCUCAACAGCCAUGAAACCAGGGAUCAACAACUACCUUCGCGUGCCCUAUGUGCAUAUCACUCGACUCUGAGAUAAACCUGCUCAACUCCUCUUUUUUUUGAGUCUCUCGAUCGAAUUGAUAUCUCUGACUUGGACACCUUUAUUGGUACGAGUUCCCCGAAUUCUUCACCACCAGUGCUUGUGCGAUCCACAGGAAAGAAUAUUCGUCUCUCCACACGGGACAGAGAGUAUUUGCUCUCUACGCUAGAUCGCCCUGCUUCAUCUGGCCCCAGUUCCAUUCCCGUCGGAGCUUGUUCUCUCCCGCAACCCUCUGGGAAAAACUUGCGCCUGUCCGCCGGGGACAGGCAAGAUUUGCUCUCCGAGCUCACUCCCGAUGCUCCGGCCGAUCGGAGCCCCAGAAACGCUUCUUAUUCUCCGCCAUCAGACACACGAAAUGCACCGCGCCUGCCUUUGAGACCCAAUCACGGUCAGUCUCUCUAGAUUCUCGCUUUUUUUCUCAUUUCUUUUUUAAAAUAAAAACUAACCCUUUUCUAUUUAACUUUACUAACUGUUUGUAUCUUACCCUCAAAUUCUCAGGGCGUUUCAGAAGGAGGAGUAGCAGGACCCGCAGGAUCGCAAGGACAACGCGAACACGCACCCGAAGGCAGCUGGCUUCAAUCGCUCUUCGCGCGGUAUCUCUGUUCGCUGAAUUAGUUCAGCUCAUCUUAUAAAAACUUUGUUUUUGAUUUUUUUUUUCAUUUUGCUUUUCAAACAUACUCUCUUUUGUGGUUUUUUGUUCUUUUAAUAUAUUCCUGUUAAACAAUAAUAAUAAAAUAAAUGGAUAACCAGGAACAAGAUAUUACAGACCCGUUUCUUGCUUUAGAAACAGCGUUAGCUAGGUUAAAUGAAAAUAUACACCAUUCUCAGAUUACAUAUUCACAAAACAGUGAGCAACCUGAGGUGAUCAAUAAUAAUGAUCCUUUAGAAUUGCUUAAUUUAGCUCUUGCCUGAUUAGCACCCAAUGAAAGUGCCUUUCAAAAUAUUUCUUUGAGUUUGGGAUUGGAUCAUGAU
ensembl:lncRNA